rnacentral:rRNA from 1 species
AUGAACGCUGGCGGCGUGCCUCAUACAUGCAAGUCGAGCGAACGGACGAGAAGCUUGCUUUUCUGAUGUUAGCGGCGGACGGGUGAGUAACACGUGGAUAACCUACCUAUAAGACUGGGAUAACUUCGGGAAACCGGAGCUAAUACCGGAUAAUAUUUUGAACCGCAUGGUUCAUAAGUGAAAGACGGUCUUGCUGUCACUUAUAGAUGGAUCCGCGCUGCAUUAGCUAGUUGGUAAGGUAACGGCUUACCAAGGCAACGAUGCAUAGCCGACCUGAGAGGGUGAUCGGCCACACUGGAACUGAGACACGGUCCAGACUCCUACGGGAGGCAGCAGUAGGGAAUCUUCCGCAAUGGGCGAAAGCCUGACGGAGCAACGCCGCGUGAGUGAUGAAGGUCUUCGGAUCGUAAAACUCUGUUAUUAGGGAAGAACAUAUGUGUAAGUAACUGUGCACAUCUUGACGGUACCUAAUCAGAAAGCCACGGCUAACUACGUG